rnacentral:rRNA from 1 species
UUAGUCAUAUGCUUGUCUCAAAGAUUAAGCCAUGCAUGUCUAAGUAUAAGCAAUUAUACAGCGAAACUGCGAAUGGCUCAUUAUAUAAGUUAUCGUUUAUUUGAUAGUACCUUACUACUUGGAUAACCGUGGUAAUUCUAGAGCUAAUACAUGCUAAAAAUCCCGACUUCGGAAGGGAUGUAUUUAUUAGAUUAAAAACCAAUGCCCUUCGGGGCUCCUUGGUGAUUCAUGAUAACUCCUCGAAUCGCAUGGCCUUGUGCCGGCGAUGGUUCAUUCAAAUUUCUUCCCUAUCAACUUUCGAUGUUUGGGUAUUGGCCAAACAUGGUUGCAACGGGUAACGGGGAAU